rnacentral:ncRNA from 1 species
UGGUGUUUGUGAUUUUAUAAUCGCAGAAUUAAAAGGGAAGCAGGUGUAAAUCCUGCACAACAGCCAUUACUGUAAUUGAGGUUAAGGUUUGGCGAUAUACCAUUGGUGUUAAUAUGCUGAGAAGGUGCCAAAUUAAAGUAUAUUUUAUACUUGCCUCAUAAGUCAGGAUACCUGCCGCUUUCUAU